GGGGUUAUAGCUCAGUGAUAGAGCACUUGCCUAAAAAGCAUGAAGCCCUGAAUUUGAUCCCC
rnacentral:tRNA from 1 species